ACCUAGCUGGCUCAGUUGGUAGAGCAUGUGACUCCUGAUCUUGAGGUCAUGAGUUUGAAUGCCAAGUUGGGUG
rnacentral:tRNA from 1 species